AGGGCCAACGGCGGAUGCCUUGGCGCCAAGUGCCGAAGAAGGACGUGACUGGCUGCGAUAAGCCACGGGGAGUUGUCGAGUGAACUUUGAUCCGUGGAUUUCCGAAUGGGGAAACCCGGCGCGGGUUAUGCCGCGUCACCACCGUGUGAACACAUAGCACGGUUGGAGGGCACCACGGGAAUUGAAACAUCUAAGUACCGUGAGGAAAAGAAAGCAAAUGCGAGUCCCUCAGUAGCGGCGAGCGAAGAGGGAUCAGCCUAAACCAUCAACGCGAUACAGCCUGCCGGCGAUGCGUUGUUGGGGUUGUGGGACUUACUCCAUGCUGCGGUAGAAGCAUGAAGGAGUUAACAAGUUAGUAGGUAGGAGAACCUGUCAGGAAAGUCAGGCCGUAGAGGGUAACAGCCCCGUAUCCGAAACCUAUCUAACCUCCUUGUAAGCACCCGAGUAGCACGGGAUUCGUGAAAGUCCGUGUGAAUCUGCGAGGACCACCUCGUAAGGCUAAUUACGCUUGGCGACCGAUAGUGAACUAGUACCGUGAGGGAAAGGUGAAAAGUACCCCGGGAGGGGAGUGAAAUAGUACCUGAAAUCGUUGGCCUACAAACCGUCAAAGCAUCCCUUGUGGGUGUGAUGGCGUGCCUUUUGAAGAAUGAGCCGGCGAGUUACGGUUCGUGGCAAGGUUAACCAGUGAUGGGGAGCCGCAGCGAAAGCGAGUCUGAAUAGGGCGUUUAGUCGCGGGCCGUAGACCCGAAGCCGAGUGAUCUAUCCAUGGGCAGGUUGAAGCGAAGGUAAGACUUCGUGGAGGACCGAACCCACCAAGGUUGAAAACUUGGGGGAUGACCUGUGGAUAGGGGUGAAAAGCCAAUCGAACUCGGCGAUAGCUGGUUCUCCCCGAAAUGCAUUUAGGUGCAGCGUCGUGCGUUUACUAUCGGGGGUAGAGCACUGAUUGGUCUAGGGGGCCCACAAGCUUACCGAAAUCAGUCAAACUCCGAAUACCGAUUAGUCCACAGCACGGCAGUGAGACCAUGGGGGAUAAGCUUCAUGGUCGAGAGGGAAACAGCCCAGAACGCCAGCUAAGGCCCCAAAUUCUGUACUAAGUGGCAAAGGAUGUGGGAUUGCCCAGACAGCCAGGAGGUUGGCUUAGAAGCAGCCAUCCUUGAAAGAGUGCGUAAUAGCUCACUGGUCGAGUGAUCCUGCGCCGAUAAUGUAACGGGGCUAAGUACAGAGCCGAAGCUGCGUCAUCUUUUAUUAGAUGGGUAGGGGAGCGUCGAUCUUGCUGCGAAGCAGGCGAGGAAUCGUCUGUGGAGCGUGGUCGAGUGCGAAUGCCGGCAUGAGUAGCGAAUGAGGGGGGAGGAACCCCUCCACCGGAUGUCCAAGGGUUCCUGGGGAAGGCUCAUCCUCCCAGGGUUAGUCGGGAGCUAAGGCGAGGCCGAGAGGCGUAGUCGAUGCACAACCGGUUGAUAUUCCGGUACCACCGUGCUUGCGCCCAAUCCAAAAUCAGAUUGCUAAGGGGCUGUCUUCGGACGAACCGACCCAUUUGGUGGCGGAUAGCAAUGGGGUGACGCAGGAGGGUAGAUCAGCCCAGGCGUUGGUUGUCCUGGGGUAAGCGUGUAGGGAGAGUGAUAGGCAAAUCCGUCACUCAUACAUCCUGAGACGCGAUGCCGAACCGUUUAGGUGAAGUGAUUGAUCCCAUGCUGCCGAGAAAAACCUCUAGUGAGCAAGCAAGGUGCCCGUACCCCAAACCAACUCAGGUGGACAGGUAGAGAAUACCAAGGUGAUCGAGAUAACGCUGGUUAAGGAACUCGGCAAAAUGCCCCCGUAACUUCGGGAGAAGGGGGGCCUCAUUACGGUGAAGGACUUCGCGUCCUGAGCUGGAGGAGGCCGCAGUGACUAGGCCCAAGCGACUGUUUACUAAAAACACAGGAGCGUGCGAAGUCGUAAGACCAUGUAUACGCUCUGACGCCUGCCCGGUGCCGGAAGGUUAAGAGGAGAGGUUAGCCCUCGGGCGAAGCUUUGAAUCUAAGCCCCGGUAAACGGCGGCCGUAACUAUAACGGUCCUAAGGUAGCGAAAUUCCUUGUCGGGUAAGUUCCGACCUGCACGAAUGGCGUAACGACUUGGGCGCUGUCUCAACCAGUGACUCGGCGAAAUUGCAAUACGAGUAAAGAUGCUCGUUUCCUGCUGCUGGACGGAAAGACCCCGUGGAGCUUUACUGCAGCUUGAUGUUGUGUUUUGGUGCAUGUUGUGUAGGAUAGGUGGGAGUCUUGGAAGCGUGCGCGCUAGCGUGCGUGGAGACGCCGUUGAAAUACCACCCUUCUUGUAUUGAAACUCUAACCUAGGCCCGUUAUCCGGGUCAGGGACAGCGUCUGGUGGGCAGUUUGACUGGGGCGGUCGCCUCCUAAAGAGUAACGGAGGCGCCCAAAGGUUCUCUCAGCCUGGUUGGCAAUCAGGCGUCGAGUGCAAAGGCACAAGAGAGCUUGACUGCGAGACCUACAAGUCGAGCAGGUGCGAAAGCAGGGCUUAGUGACCCGGCCGUGGCAUGUGGAAGCGCGGUCGAUCAACGGAUAAAAGUUACCCCGGGGAUAACAGGCUUAUCUUGCCCAAGAGUCCAUAUCGACGGCAAGGUUUGGCACCUCGAUGUCGGCUCGUCGUAUCCUGGAGCUGAAGCAGGUUCCAAGGGUUGGGCUGUUCGCCCAUUAAAACGGCACGCGAGCUGGGUUUAGAACGUCGUGAGACAGUUCGGUCCCUAUCCGCAGCAGGCGAAAGAGAUUUGAGAGGACCUGUCCCUAGUACGAGAGGACCGGGACGGACGUAGCUCUCGUAUACCAGUUGUUCUGCCAAGAGCAUGGCUGGUUGGCGACCUACGGAAGAGAUAAGCGCUGAAAGCAUCUAAGCGCGAAACUCGCCUCAAGAUGAGAUCUCUCACCGGGUUAACCGGGUAAGGCCCCUGGUAGACCACCAGGUUGAUAGGCCGGAGGUGUAAGCACGGUGACGUGUUUAGCUGACCGGUACUAAUCGGCCGAGGGCUUGAUUC
rnacentral:rRNA from 1 species